CUCACCUCACUGUAACUCCACUCCUCGUCCUUCUGUUCUUUCAGUCAUUCUCUGCUGUCUUAACCUUCUCUCCCUGCCUCGCCAGACAUCGCCAGUAAACAGGUGGUAAUGUAGCUUGAGGCAAAGGGCUUACAUUAAGCUCUCGUCAAGAAGAGGGUGAAAAUUGACUAACAGGAGGAGGAUAGCGAGGUGAAGUUCCUUUCGGUCAGUGUUUGAGCCAAGAAUCGCGUCUGCAGUUGAUAAUGGUUCACGAUACUUUUUCUUGUCAGGGUUCUGGGUCGUCUCCUUGCUCUUGUUGAUCAGUAACAUUUUUCCGGUGUAACAAAACAAUACUGAAUCCCGAAGGUUUAUAAGGCAUGGCAAUCCUGAACCGAAAAUCGGCACCACGCAUGAUUCUUCUGGGCUCGGCGGCACAGCCAGGCGUAUGACGCAGUGUGAGUUCUGCCGGGCUGAUUCUUCCCUAUACGGGCUUCCCUUGGCGCUCCUCGUUCUAUAAUACUCAAAUCGUUUCUUACCGCGUCUUAAAAGAUUAUAUUUGUGGUAUUAUAUAUCAGUUAGUAGCCUCUUGAUGGCUGUGAUCCAGCGCGACACGUUGGUACGCUGCGCGGCGCUAACAGGUCACGGAGAGAGUUGACGCUUAGUGGCACUGAGCGAGUGACGGGUGAUUGUGUGCGCGGCUCGCCACUUCCCCCGCCCGAGGAAGUUCAGAGGACCGACUUGUAGACUUGUAACUAUGUAGCUUCGCCCUUAUAGUUUUUUAAAAAAGUUAAUGCAGUGCAGUUGAUUACUACUGAAAUAGUACUCCAUGUUUUUACCGAGAUUAGUGUGGCGGGGAAUGUUGCAGAGUUGAUACAUGAAUGGGAGUUUUAGUACAAGCGAACAUUAGUUUGGCGACAACCACCUGUGAGUGUCUUGUGAUCGCGUAGUGCUGCCUCCAGGUGCUGGCAGGCCCCUGUGGUGAUGGGGGCCGCGCUGCACAUACUGCUGCUCAUCGCUCACGCAGCCCUCGCCGCCGCCACCAAGGCAGGUGUGUGACGGCCGCUGCCUGCCUGCCUGCCUGCCUGCUGCUGGUGUUACUUUUACUGCCUGCCUCCUUGCUUCGUUAAGUGACUCAGACCAUUCCGUGGGCGGCCUCAGAACAGCCUCACUAGACAGGAUGGCCCGCCGCUCCCACGCCCAUCCGCCCACCACGCCUACGGCCAACACUACUACUCCCUCCCACGCCGCCCGCAAUACACCCAGCGGCUUGCACAACCUCAUGGCAAGGUUCAGAGGCCUCCAAAGAGCUGGCCAGAGUGAAGCUUGUGGCAUAGAGGGACAGCUGCUAAUCAUCAAGCUUAUGGAGUGACUGGAGGAAAGUGGGAGGAGCCUGGAGGGAGUCGUGGAGGUACAGUACUUGGAGAAAAUCCCUCCAUUAUGACGACUGGGUGUCUGCUGUACAGUCCACCGA